GCAUCGGUGGUUUAGUGGUAAAAUUAGCCGUUGCCAAGCAGAUCCCUUCAAUCUUCAGCUUCAAGGAGUUCGUAGAACGACAACAGGUUUCAUAGCAAGGUUCGGCUAGCCCCGGGUUCGAUUCCCGGCCGAUGCA